rnacentral:rRNA from 2 species
GACGAACCGUGCGAACGUUAUUCGGAAUCACUGGGCUUAAAGCGCGUGUAGGCGGAUUGGUGCGUCGGCGCCUGAAAUCCCCCGGCUCAACCGGGGAACGCGGCCCGAAACGACCAGUCUGGAGGGACGUAGGGGGGACUGGAACUUCCGGUGGAGCGGUGAAAUGCGUUGAGAUCGGAAGGAACGCCCGUGGCGAAAGCGAGUCCCUGGACGUCUACUGACGCUGAGACGCGAAAGCUAGGGGAGCGAACGGG